rnacentral:rRNA from 1 species
UACGGGGGGGGCAAGCGUUGUUCGGAAUUACUGGGCGUAAAGGGCUCGUAGGCGGCCAACUAAGUCAGACGUGAAAUCCCUCGGCUUAACCGGGGAACUGCGUCUGAUACUGGAUGGCUUGAGAUUGGGAGAGGGAUGCGGAAUUCCAGGUGUAGCGGUGAAAUGCGUAGAUAUCUGGAAGAACACCAAUGGCGAAGGCAGCUCUCUGGGACGGUACUGACGCUGAGACGCGAAAGCGUGGGGAGCGAACAGG